AGCGAACGCUGGCGGCAGGCCUAACACAUGCAAGUCGAACGGACCCUUCGGGGUUAGUGGCGGACGGGUGAGUAACACGUGGGAACGUGCCCUUUGGUUCGGAACAACUCAGGGAAACUUGAGCUAAUACCGAAUGUGCCCUUCGGGGAAAGAUUUAUCGCCAUUGGAGCGGCCCGCGUCUGAUUAGCUAGUUGGUAGGG
rnacentral:rRNA from 1 species